rnacentral:rRNA from 1 species
AGUGAACGCUGGCGGUAGGCCUAACACAUGCAAGUCGAACGGCAGCACAGGAGAGCUUGCUCUCUGGGUGGCGAGUGGCGGACGGGUGAGGAAUACAUCGGAAUCUACUUUUUCGUGGGGGAUAACGUAGGGAAACUUACGCUAAUACCGCAUACGACCUACGGGUGGAAGCAGGGGACCUUCGGGCCUUGCGCGAUUGAAUGAGCCGAUGUCGGAUUAGCUAGUUGGCGGGGUAAAGGCCCACCAAGGCGACGAUCCGUAGCUGGUCUGAGAGGAUGAUCAGCCGCACUGGAACUGAGACACGGUCCAGACUCCUACGGGAGGCAGCAGUGGGGAAUAUUGGACAAUGGGCGCAAGCCUGAUCCAGCCAUACCGCGUGGGUGAAGAAGGCCUUCGGGUUGUAAAGCCCUUUUGUUGGGAAAGAAAUCCAUCUGGUUAAUACCCGGGUGGGAUGACGGUACCCAAAGAAUAAGCACCGGCUAACUUCGUGCCAGCCGCCGCCGUAA